rnacentral:misc_RNA from 1 species
GCUCCCAUCACCUCUGCCAUCUCCCCGAUCACUCGCAGCACGAGCCCGGUCUCGCCCUCUGAGCUCGCCAACAUCUCAAACCCUAGAGGGAUCAACCCGUCGCCCGUCAUCAUCUCGACACCGGAUGAAUAGGCUGAAGAGUCAUCUUUGUGGCCGAGGACGCGGCGAUGGGUAGAGGCGGCUACAUACAUUAGUCUGAGAGCACAGGCAGCUGCCAUGGCGUCGUCCUUGCGGCCACCUACAAGCUCGCAGGCAGCGAGGCAGAGUGAUGGGGCUAUCGUCUUUGGCGCGGUUAGGACUAGGUGGCGCAUUGGCGCGGUGACCACCAGCGGCGGGCUGGGGGGAAGUGACUCAACGGAGGCCCGUUGUGCUCGUCGAGCGGCCGACAGGGUGAUCACGAAGGGUCUUCGAGGGGUUAAGCAGAGGAGGUACAUGGUGGAUGACAUGGAGGAAAACACUGUAGCCAUGGGAGGAGUUAGGAGUCGUGAGGGUGGGGGGCGA